UACGUAGGGUGCAAGCGUUUAAUCGGAAUUACUGGGCGUAAAGCGUGCGCAGGCGGCUUUGCAAGACAGAUGUGAAAUCCCCGGGCUUAACCUGGGAACUGCAUUUGUGACUGCAUGGCUGGAGUGCGGCAGAGGGGGAUGGAAUUCCGGCGUGUAGCAGUGAAAUGCGUAGAUAUGCGGAGGAACACCGAUGGCGAAGGCAGCCCCCCUGGGCUAACACUGACGCUCAGGCACGAAAGCGUGGGGAGCAAACAGG
rnacentral:rRNA from 1 species